rnacentral:lncRNA from 1 species
GGUUGCCUUACCCAGCUCUGAAGUCUGUCAGCCUCUUCAGAUGUCACUUGCCCUGUGGUAAGGAAGUGUAGUUGGCAGCUGGUGCAGUGGCAAGAAGAGAAAGGAGGUUCCCCAAGACAGAAAUAUCUCAGCAGACCGUGAUCAUGGGCUACAUUCUCCAUACCAGCUUCAUAGCUCCAGUGAGAAAAUAAAUUCCUGCACCCAGGAGACGUGGAGUAAGAGAUACAGCUGACCUUGACCACAUUUCUUACUUCCAAGAAGAUUGUAG